rnacentral:rRNA from 1 species
UCCGCAGGGGGUUUGCCAAGUCUGAUGUGAAAGCCCACGGCUCAACUGUGGAACUGCAUUGGAUACUGGCGAACUAGAGUGCACGAGGGGUGAGCGGAAUUCUUGGUGUAGCGGUGGAAUGCGUAGAUAUCAAGAAGAACACCGAUGGCGAAGGCGGCUCACUGGCGUGUCACUGACCCUCAUGGACGAAAGCGUGGGGAGCGAACAGGAUUAGAUACCCUGGUAGUCC